rnacentral:rRNA from 1 species
GACGAACGCUGGCGGCGUGCCUAAUACAUGCAAGUCGAACGCAGUGGGGACGGGUGAGUAACACGUGGGUAACCUCCCAUCAGAGGGGAUAACACUUGGAAACAGGUGCUAAACCGAUACUGAUGGAUGGACCCGCGGUGCAUUAGCCAGUUGGUGAGGUAACGGCUCACCAAGGCCACGAUGCAUAGCCGCCCUGAGAGGGUGACCAGCCACACGGGAACUGAGACACGGGCCAGACUCCUACGGGAGGCAGCAGUGGGGAAUAUUGCACAAUGGGCGCAAUCCUGAUGCAGCCAUGCCGCGUGUGUGAAGAAGGCCUUCGGGUUGUAAAGCACUUUCAGCGGGGAGGCGUUACCCGCAGAAGAAGCACCGGCUAACUCCGUGCCAGCAGCCGCGGUAAUUC